CCGGCGCACGGGUGAGUGACGCGUAUCCAACCUGCCCACCACUUGGGGAUAACCUUGCGAAAGUAAGACUAAUACCCAAUGAUAUCUCUAGAAGACAUCUGGAAGAGAUUAAAGAUUUAUCGGUGAUGGAUGGGGAUGCGUCUGAUUAGCUUGUUGGCGGGGUAACGGCCCACCAAGGCAACGAUCAGUAGGGGUUCUGAGAGGAAGGUCCCCCACAUUGGAACUGAGACACGGUCCAA
rnacentral:rRNA from 1 species